AACGCGAAGAACCUUACCUGGAUUUGACAUGCACGUGAAGGCGCUAGAGAUAGCGAGGUCUCGCAAGAGACACGUGCACAGGUGCUGCAUGGCUGUCGUCAGCUCGUGCCAUGAGGUGUUGGGUUAAGUCCCGCAACGAGCGCAACCCUUGUCGUUAGUUGCCAGCGCGUAAUGGCGGGCACUUUAACGAGACUGCCCUGGUGAACAGGGAGGAAGGUGAGGAUGAAGUCAAGUCCGCAUGGCCUAUAUAUCCAGGGCUACACACGUGCUACAAUGGCCGGUACAGAAGGCAGCGAAACCGAGAGGUGGAGCAAAUCCCAAAAGCCGGCCCCAGUUCAGAUUGGAGUCUGCAACUCGACUCCAUGAAGAUGGAAUUGCUAGUAAUGGCGAGUCAGCAACAUCGCCGUGAAUACGUUCCCGGGCCUUGUACACACCGUAGUAC
rnacentral:rRNA from 1 species